rnacentral:rRNA from 1 species
GACGAACGCUGGCGGCGUGCUUAACACAUGCAAGUCGAACGGAAAGGCCCUGCUUUUGUGGGGUGCUCGAGUGGCGAACGGGUGAGUAACACGUGAGUAACCUGCCCUUGACUUUGGGAUAACUUCAGGAAACUGGGGCUAAUACCGGAUAGGAGCUCCUGCUGCAUGGUGGGGGUUGGAAAGUUUCGGCGGUUGGGGAUGGACUCGCGGCUUAUCAGCUUGUUGGUGGGGUAGUGGCUUACCAAGGCUUUGACGGGUAGCCGGCCUGAGAGGGUGACCGGCCACAUUGGGACUGAGAUACGGCCCAGACUCCUACGGGGGGCAGCAGGGGGGAAUAUGGCACAAUGGGCGGAAGCCUGAGGCAGCAACGCCGCGUGCGGGAUGACGGCCUUCGGGUGGUAAACCGCUUUCGCCUGUGACGAAGCGUGAGUGACGGUAAUGGGUAAAGAAGCACCGGCUAACUACGUG